GACGAACGCUGGCGGCGUGCUUAACACAUGCAAGUCGAACGGAAAGGCCCUGCUUGCAGGGUGCUCGAGUGGCGAACGGGUGAGUAACACGUGGGUGAUCUGCCCCUUACUUUGGGAUAAGCCUGGGAAACUGGGUCUAAUACUGGAUAGGACCAUGCUGUCGGUGGUGUGGUGGAAAGAUUAGUUUCGGUAAGGGAUGAGCUCGCGGCCUAUCAGCUUGUUGGUGGGGUAAUGACCUACCAAGGCGUCGACGGGUAGCCGGCCUGGGAGGGUGGACGGCCACAUUGGGACUGAGAUACGGCCCAGACUCCUACGGGAGGCAGCAGUGGGGAAUAUUGCACAAUGGGCGCUAGCCUGAUGCAGCGACGCCGCGUGGGGGAUGACGGGCUUCGGGUUGUAAACUCCUUUCAGCCAUGACGAAGCCCUUGUGGUGACGGUAGUGGUAGAAGAAGCACCGGCUAAAUACGUG
rnacentral:rRNA from 1 species